rnacentral:rRNA from 1 species
GACGAACGCUGGCGGCGUGCUUAACACAUGCAAGUCGAACGGAAAGGCCCUGCUUUUGUGGGGUGCUCGAGUGGCGAACGGGUGAGUAACACGUGAGUAACCUGCCCUUGACUUUGGGAUAACUUCAGGAAACUGGGGCUAAUACCGGAUUGGAGCUCCUGCGGCAUGGUGGGGGUUGGAAAGUUUCGGCGGUUGGGGAUGGACUCGCGGCUUAUCAGCUUGUUGGUGGGGUAGUGGCUUACCAAGGCUUUGACGGGUAGCCGGCCUGAGAGGGUGACCGGCCACAUUGGGACUGAGAUACGGCCCAGACUCCUACGGGAGGCAGCAGUGGGGAAUAUUGCACAAUGGGCGGAAGCCUGAUGCAGCAACGCCGCGUGCGGGAUGACGGCCUUCGGGUUGUAAACCGCUUUCGCCUGUGACGAAGCGUGAGUGACGGUAAUGGGUAAAGAAGCACCGGCUAACUACGUG